CUCUUAAUGUCCAGCCUGGGACCUGAGCCCCUGGCCCAUUGUUAGCCGGCUUUUCCAUGGCAGCUUUGCAUCUGGCUCCUGCGGGCAGCGGAAAACGAGAGGCGGCUCUCGAAGCCUGCUGAUCUUCCUUCGCCAUCAACUUCUCAGGAAUGGCUGGAGAAAGAUAGAUGCAUGUGCCAAGAGAGACAGCAGCCCCAGGUCCUUGUGUCCAAAUCCCCGUAGCCUGGGCGGCGGCCAGCCAAGGCAAUGCCGUCCCGAGCAGGCUCGUGCGGCUUCUGGCACUCUGGGUUUCAUACCCGUAGGGCUCGGGUGCGGUCAAAGGAGAGCAUGAAUCAAGAGCAGGAGAGUAGAUGUGGGCAAAGCUCCUUUGGCGUGAGACUCCCAGCGUUCUGCGGCAGCCUGGUUUUGUAUCCUCAAGAUUUUCCUAAAACGUGAAAAGGGUUCCUAAACACUGCUCUCUGGGACUCAGCAGAGAGGAAAUAAAUCCACAGAAUGGCAAAUGCUGAAUUCCGGGAGGAAUUUGAUGCUGAGAUUCAUGGAAGGGAUUCCUUCCAAUCCAAGGAAGACCUGGAGGACUCUCUGAAACUCAGUCCUUUUUCUUGAGACCUAAGGGAGAGUCGGUCCCUUUUGAGGUGAAUUUAGAAGCCCCCCCCCCAUCUUCUUUAGGCGUGAUAAUGAACCCCGAAGCAACCUCAGUGGAGACCUGGAAUUCGAUAGCUUGUGGGAAGAGCUUAAGACCUUGUGGGGUUCCAAGGUUGAGGCCUUGGCCGAUGGGCUUUCGGUGCGGGGAAAAGGAGAGGAGCCCCGGGUUCUUGGGGCCCGCGCCCCGCACCUGUGCGCCCCCCGCUGAGCCCCAGACUGUCCGCCUUUGUUUCUGCCAGUCCGCUCCGCACUUAGCAGCCUGGCGCCCUGCUUGGGCGGCAGCUGGGAACCAGGCAGCUCAGAGAGCCGGGAGCCAUGGCAUUUCCCGAGCUGCUGCAGCCACUUGAAACGGCGGCCUCUAUCCCCAGAACUCGCCGAGCUUCCAAGGCAGACGCCGGACCAGGCCGCACGCCGGAGUUGCGGUGCUGCGGCAGCCGCUGCCAGUUCGCUCCUGCCAGAACUCCACGCAGAGACCCGUGUCCAGCCAAAGAACCCUCUUUGACACGGAUCGUAAUCAGAAUAAAAACUUUAUUUUUUAUUUUUAUUUUUUUGUUUCUCAGAAUGUGAGCAGCAAGGAAUGUAAAACUCUCAAAACAAAUCUAGCAUUUUUACGUUUAGUUUGGCCGGAUGUUACAAACCUAAACCACUAUUUUCAAACUCUGGGUCCUCUCUGUUCUUAUUGCAUUGCUACGGUUUUUAUAAAGGAAUUUUAUUUCCCUUUCAAAUAAAUUUUAUAUGUAUGCCAAUACACCAUUGAACAAAAGGCUCAAGAAACCUUCUGAACAAUCAGGGUACAGAAUUUCUUUAAUAUAAAUACGAACGGAUGGGGAUAAAUAAUAUUUAAAACUAUUCAAUGCUUGCAAAAAAUAUAAAUAAAUCUGACUGUUCACCAGCACACACACACACACACACACACACACACAC
rnacentral:lncRNA from 1 species